GAUGAACGCUAGCGGGAGGCCUAACACAUGCAAGCCGAGCGGUAGAGUUUCUUCGGAAACUUGAGAGCGGCGCACGGGUGCGUAACACGUGUGCAACCUACCUUUAUCUGGGGGAUAGCCUUUCGAAAGGAAGAUUAAUACCCCAUAAUAUAAUGAUUGGCAUCAAUUAUUAUUGAAAACUCCGGUGGAUAGAGAUGGGCACGCGCAAGAUUAGAUAGUUGGUGAGGUAACGGCUCACCAAGUCAAUGAUCUUUAGGGGUCCGGAGAGGGAGAUCCCCCACACUGGGACUGAGACACGGGCCAGACUCCUACGGGAGGCAGCAGUGAGGAAUAUUGGACAAUGGGUGAGAGCCUGAUCCAGCCAUCCCGCGUGAAGGAUGACGGUCCUAUGGAUUGUAAACUUCUUUUGUACAGGGAUAAACCUACCCUCGUGAGGGUAGCUGAAGGUACUGUACGAAUAAGCACCGGCUAACUCCGUG
rnacentral:rRNA from 1 species